rnacentral:rRNA from 1 species
UACGGGGGGGGCAAGCGUUGUUCGGAAUUACUGGGCGUAAAGGGCGCGCAGGCGGCCACGCACGUCCGUUGUGAAAUCGCUCGGCUCAACUGGGGAGGGUCACGCGAUACUGAUCGACUCGAAGGCAGGAGAGGGUAGUGGAAUUCCCGGUGUAGUGGUGAAAUGCGUAGAUAUCGGGAGGAACACCAGUGGCGAAGGCGACUACCUGGCCUGUUCUUGACGCUGAGGCGCGAAAGCUAGGGGAGCAAACGGG